UGGCGGUGCUAACCAUGCAGUCGACGGUACAUCUUCUUUAUUGUGGCGGACGGGUGAGUCCGCGGGAUAAUCUGCCUUCACGUCUGGUUACUCACAGGGAAACUUCUGCAAAUCCCGGAUGAUCCUUACGCUAAAAAAUAUGUUGUCUGGUGAUGGCCUCUCGUCUGACUACCUUGUUUGUGUGUAAGUGGCCGUCCAAGGCACCAAUUAGUAGACUGAUCUGAUAGGAUGAGCAACCACAGUGGGACGGAGAGACGGCCCAGACUCCCACGGGAGGCCUCAGUGGGGAAUUUUCCGCAAUGGGCGAACGCCGGACGGAGCAAUACCGCGUGGGGGAGGAAGGCUCUAGGGUUGUUCACCGCUUGUCAUUGAAACCAAGAUGGGACGGUACCAACGGUAUCAUCCUCAGAAAGACUCGGUGUUCAUCAGCCGCGGUAAUACCGAGGAUGCAAACGUUAUCCGCAAUGAUUGUGCCUACAGCGUCCGUAAUAUGGCCAGGUGCAGUCUGCUGUCAAAACUCACGGGGUCAACUCGGGUCAGGCAGUGGAUACUACAAACCUAGAUUUUGGUACAUUCCUAAGGAAUUCCCGGUGUACCGAAGAAAUGCAUAUAUAUCUGGAAAAACAUCGGUGGACUAAAACGCUUUACUAGACCAAUACUGACAUUGAGGGACGAAACCUAGGGGAGCGAGGGGGAUUAAAUGCCUACUAGUCCCUGGCUGUACACAACGGAAACUAGGUGUUGCCUGUA
rnacentral:rRNA from 1 species